GACAGUUUGGCCGAGCGGUCUAAGGCGCCAGCUUCAGGCGCUGGUCCGAAAGGGCGCGAGUUCGAAUCUCGCAGUUGUUA
rnacentral:tRNA from 1 species